UGAAGUGAUACUGAACAUCUUUAUACAUCAGAGUCCAAAAUCGUCUCCGACUUAGAACCCUAAACCUUGUCCAACUCCUCUUGCCCUGGCGAUGAAGCCCUAGAAAGGUAGCUAUAGCCUACAAUUGGUCAAAAUCUUUGCAUCUUUCGAGAUAAACAAGCCCCAUCGGAGCUCAUUAACGUUGUAAACGAUAUCGAGAUGAGUGGCUGAUGGUGUCUACCUGAAGAGCUUCGGUUGAAGCUUCAAGAGUUUUGUGUUUUUCCAGAAUACCAAAAUUGUAAAAGGGACAAGGCUCUUAAACAAAUCAUAAAUAUGGCACCGACCGAGGAGUUUGAAGGCACUUAAUUUUUUUUGGUCAUAUGUAUAUGUGUUUAUUGACAAUGACAAUGAUGUA